AGCAGCUGGCAAAGCAGCCACAGACCGACCGCAGGGAGAGCAGGUUCAAGAGGAGUGAAUUAGCUCAACGUUGGGCCACAGUGGAAUUGAAAUUCAUAGCGGAAUCUCAUACGUGCUGAGAAUUUGAACAAACAAACAAAAUACCCCAAACUCUCCUGUGGAGGUAAAGGGUGAGAACCCCUUAGGGUUUCAGGACCUGUGACUUUCCACUGCUUUUUAAAUAUCUGCCAAUGGAGUGUGCACAAGCAUCUCUUCCAUUCUUUGGAGGUAGCAAUAGCACACUAGAGUGCUCCAUGCCACACUAUUGGAUUCCACCUGUUGUUGGGAAUCAGCAAGGUGGGUGUAAGCCCUUCUUCCACCUCCACUCUGAAGGGGAGUUACUCCUCUAUGUGAAAUGAAGUUUCCUCUGCUGAGAUGCUUCAAUCAGCCGUUAGCCCAUGGAGGGACCCUGUACAAAAACAAGACUGUGUUUCCCUUAGGUUAAAAUAAAUCAAGUUGGCUUUCAUUUGCUUCUUCCGAUUCAUACUGUAAGAGUGGCCUUCUGGUUACGUGAACGGGUAAGGGAAGAAAUGGGCUGUGAACUGGCAACGUGGGUUCACGGGAGUGUGCGUGCAUACUGCAGGCUCCCAGAGAGAACUGGCACCAAGACAGAAAGGAGAGCUAGAGUCAUCGUGCGCACCGCCCUUUCCUUCCUCUGUGGCUGAGCCCUGGCCCAGCAUGGACAAGGCCCUGGGCCCAAUCCCCAGCAGGGUGAAAAACCAGGGCCCUGAGGUUCCUGCCGAUGUGCUCGCGCCAGCUGUGGUAGAUCAAAGAUGACCCCCGAUCCCUUGCAGUUCCUCCUCAGAGGAAACUCCCAUCCUCCCUGCUCUUAUCUCACAGAAGUGACAGGUCCACCUCCCACAGGCCAGGUGGGGCUACCCGGGCUCUGCUCCCUCCUGGUCCUGCCCCUCCCAGGUCCUGUCCCACACUGGCCAGGGCUCCACCACCUGUAAGGCCUGGGGACGUCCCUCCGCGUAGAAGAUCAGGCUGUGUCAUGAGCCGCUGCUCUGCCGUGCCCUCUCCCUGCACAGACACUGGCCUCCUGGUGUCACCUUCCUCAGCUCUGUGCCCUGCUCUGUCCCCCAGCUGACGCCCCCAGUGUCCCCCAGGGGUACUUCCUGCAUUGCAGGCCCCUUCCUGACACCAUCUCUGGGGUGGGGCAAGGUCCAGCUUUCCUCCUGGCUCUGGAUCCCACUGAAGCUUCCGCUCUGCCCCGUCCUCUGCCUCCCUCAGCCCUGACCCCACCCCAUCCUGCUCUCCAGGACUGUCCUUGGCCUAACCCUCCCCCUGCCUGGCUCACCUGCUCCGCUCUCCUUUAAUC
rnacentral:lncRNA from 1 species